GACGAACGCUGGCGGCGCGCCUAACACAUGCAAGUCGAACGGAGUUAUUUCAGCAGAAGCUUUCGGGUGGACGCAGGGAUAACUUAGUGGCGAACGGGUGAGUAACACGUGAGGAACCUGCCCUGGAGUGGGGGAUAACAGUUGGAAACGACUGCUAAUACCGCAUAAGCCCACAGCACCGCAUGGUGCAGCGGGACAAGGAGCAAUUCGCUUCAGGAUGGCCUCGCGUCCAAUUAGCUAGUUGGCGGGGUAACGGCCCACCAAGGCGACGAUCAGUAGCCGGACCGAGAGGUUGAACGGCCACAUUGGGACUGAGACACGGCCCAG
rnacentral:rRNA from 1 species